GUUCAGCACUAAGUCACUUUGUCUUUAUGGCAAAUGUGAGAUGCAGUGUAUGGAAUGUCAAAUUUCUAGUAUGAUAAAUUAACGAUUUAAGUCCUUCUUAAAUGAGGCCAUUUACCCAUAGAGGGUGCCAGGCCCGUAUAACGUUAAUGAUUACUAGAUGGCAUUUCCAAAGAGUCGUGUUGCUUGAUAGUGCAGCACUAAGUGGGUGGUAAACUCCAUCUAAAACUAAAUAUAACCAUGAGACCGAUAGUAAACAAGUACCGUGAGGGAAAGUUGAAAAGAACUCUGAAUAGAGAGUUAAAUAGUACGUGAAACUGCUUAGAGGUUAAGCCCGAUGAACCUGAAUAUCCAUUAUGGAAAAUUCAUCAUUAUGAUUUUAAUAUUUAUAAUAUUAUAAUAAUAGUGUGCAUUUUUUCUAUAACGGACAUUGUAAUCUAUUAACAUAAAUAUAUUUAUCAUAAGAUCAAUGAUGCGUAAGUUUAUUCAAAUUAUUUUGCUUGCAAUUUAACAUAGAAUAAAUGCUCUUGAUUUGAUAAAGUGUUGAUAGAUUUAUUGUAUAUAGUGCUUAAAUAUUUAUAUUUUAUAAUAGCAUAUUAAUCAUUGAUUUUUAUGUUUAUUAUAUGCACUUAUAUGAUUAACAAUGCGAAAGAUUCAGGAUACCUUCGGGACCCGUCUUGAAACACGGACCAAGGAGUCUAACAUAUUUGCAAGUUAUUGGGUAUCAAAACCUAAUAGCGAAAUUAACAUAACUUUAAUGGGAUUAGUUUUUAGAUUAUUUAUAGUCUAUUAAUUCAAUCCCGGGGCGUUCUAUAUGGUUAUGUAUAAUAAUAUUUAUAUUAUUUAUAUCUCUAACCAGAGCGUACCUUGAGCAUAUAUGCUGUGACCCGAAAGAUGGUGAACUAUACUUGAUCAGGUUGAAGUCAGGGGAAACCCUGAUGGAAGACCGAAACAGUUCUGACGUGCAAAUCGAUUGUCAGAAUUGAGUAUAGGGGCGAAAGACCAAUCGA
rnacentral:rRNA from 1 species